GUAAAAUAAUAAUAGCAAUAGUCUAUUCUCUCAAGUUUACCCAAAACAUAUAGUUAUUCUCAACUAAAUAUUAAAUGAGUAUAUAAGUGUAAAUUUUAUUUGAAAUAAGAAAAAUACUUUGAGAAAUCAAUAAUCGCAAUAAUGAUUGGAUUCAAGAAAACAUGGUUUUACGUUUUUUUCGUAAUAGCAAUGUUUGUGUCUUCUUCGUAUGGUAUGAAUAUAUUAAAAGUCAGUAAGUCGUUGGAAUUUGAGAGCCAAUAUUCUAAUUCUAAUGGGUUUCAACCGGUUGUAGGACUCACGGGUGAUCUAAAUGUAAUAGAUUCAGCACCUGUAUAAUAAAGCACUUUAAAAUUUCCAAUUCAUUAUGAAAAAUCAAAUUUUUAAAGUUAUCCAAUUGUAAUCCAUUUAUAUAUAUAUGUACCUCAAUAUUAUAUACAAUAAUAUAUUCAAAAUUAUAAUAAAUAUAAUAAUAUAUGGUUUAAUAAAAUAUGCAAUAAAAUUUUUAUAAAUUUACGAUUUUUGGUUAUUUUGUUUAAUCCGGACUUUCAUUAAUUCGGACAACCUAAUUGGGGAAUUAGUCCGGAUUACUGAGGUUCUACUGUACAUAAUAACGAGUAUAAUAGAAAAAAUAUUUUAAUAAUGUAUUAAUAUUCUAUAAUUUAAUUAAAUAAAAGUGAAUAAUAAUUAUCAAACAAUA